UUCUUCCACACAUAAAUUUAACCAAAAAAAAUAAUCUGAAAAUCCUGCCCUGCUGAGCUUAGAAUUCUUAACUUAGACAUUCUUGGCAAUAUUGUGACACAAAUAGACUGCAGCCUGCUUCCAUAAAGUUCUUUGUGCUCCUAUCCAUAGCAUUUACCGUGGAAGGUCACUGAUACAGAAGAUUACCAAACUUUUCUCUCAUGAAAUGCUAGAUACAAAUGCCA
rnacentral:lncRNA from 1 species